GCCAGUUUGGAUGUCAGAGUAGACCCAGGAGGAGCCUUCUUGUCCAGGGGUACUUGCAAGGACCAGAAGUAAAGUCUUGAGUUUGCAACUCAGUUCCUGGCAGUGGCAGAUAAGCACCUCCUCUCGGCCGGGGGCAGCAGUGAGAACCGGGGGAUGUCCUGGCUCCUGUCUGGCUUUCCUGAUUGCUGUGGCCUCAGGUAGCUUCCCACAGCAACAGAACCCUGUUCUGUAUGCAUCAGGGUUAAGAAGCUUCUGGUUCAAAGAGACAACAGAGAUACUUCCUCUGCAGGAAUGACUGUGCCUGAAGCUCAGGUGGGACUGUCCUACCUGGGUCCAGAGCCUCUCCACCCACUGGUCUGUGGCUCUGCCCCUGUCUCCUCUUUCACAUCAAGAUCCCCAGGAAGUGUGUUCACCUGCACCUGCUGUGGGCGGAGCAAGACAAGCAUCCGGAAAGGAUGGAGUGAAGGGACGCUCCUGGCUGCUCUGUUGCUCCCUUUAGCGGAUUUAGCGGCUCAGGAGAGGGGAGACGGCCCGCGGAAGCAGAGGAAACCACGCCUCCUUCGUGGCUCGCUUAAGGCAGCACCUGGAGCGGUUUCAUCGUUUACAGAGUCCUGGCAACAAGCUCCAGGAGCUCGCGGCGGGUCGCUCCGGAACUCCUCACUCACCCUGAAUACCGCGCAGAAGUUACCAUGGUGGAUCGCUGGUUGUUUAUCUGCCCAGACAUUCUGUAUGCAGUUGGAAGGAUAUGUAGCAAUUCAUGUAAAGAGCCGCAAAGGAGACCAUCAGCCUGCAUGGACCACUCUGCAGCUUGCCUCUGCACGUCACAAUCUAUCCUGGAGACCUUCCCACAUCUGCAUAAAGAUUGGCGUCCUUCUCUGAAAUGACUGUGCACUGUUUCAUUGCAUGCAUGCUAUUUAUUUUUUAGCUCACUCUGAUGAAGAAUAUAUGUGUUAUGUCUUGGCUUCUGCUAUCACAGACAAUGCCACAAGCAACAUAUUCAUUCAGGUAUCUCAGUGUGCAUCUACAAGCAUAACCAAUAGAUAAAUUCAUCCUUUUCGGCACAGUGUUGGUUAUCUUCCAGCAAUUUUUCUUGACAGCCAGAAACAAGAAAGUCUGAUUCUCUCUGCACCUUUCUAAUAUCUACCAAUGUCACAGGAGAAAAUGAUUCUUUUUGUUUGUUCAGUUCCUCAAAGAUAUUAAUUGAGCACUUACUAUAUGCCAAGGGCUUUGUGUUAGGUUAGGGAAGGGAACUUUUUGUGGGGAAAGUCUUAAUGAAAUCAGCACAUAAAUAAAAGUGAGUUACAGCUGUUAUUUGUGGAGUGA
rnacentral:lncRNA from 1 species